rnacentral:lncRNA from 1 species
CUAGAUCCAAAGUGACUCUUGCUCAUCUUACUCCACCCCCUAGUCCAUCCUACAUUUCUCUGUAUACACCAAUCAUCAAGUCAGCACAGGAUAGUGGGAAGGGCCAUUUUCCAAGCAUAUGCCCAUAGAGCAUUGUCCAAUUGGUAUUCAGCCUCAAGUGCUCAGCUGUCCUGACCUCAGUGCAUCGACUCAAGAGUUUCAGCCCUCUACAUCUCCUGCUUUCUUUUGUUUUAGAACACAGGUGGUCACGCCAUCCCUGACUUCUCAGGGAGGUGAGAACCCCAAAACGAGGGGAUCACGCUCCCCCUGACUUCUCAGGAAGGGAGAUGAAAAACACCAAAGGGAAGUGGGGAUUGCUAACAGGUUUCUGGGCUGAAGGGUUUUAUUAGAAACAGGUAUGCACAAACCCAUCAGCAUGGGAGGUAUUACACAAGCACAUAUCAAUAAUGCACAGGCUAUUAGUGAUGACUCCCCCACAACCAGUGCAGGCUCAUGUGGUGCAAGAAACAUCAAUUGUACAUGCAAGUAGUGAUAUAAUAAACAAUAUGAAUCAACAUAGUGUUAGUGUUGUAAAAGAUUUCCAGAAGUCCUAGAAGGAGGGUAUGUAAACAACAGUCACACAUACGCCUUCUUCAGCAGCCAAGAGAUAGUCCAAAACCAAUCUAUUGUCCAUUGCAUCACAUGUCAGGGGAUCCAAUGAUCCCCGCAAGUUUUUGAAGUCCUGCAACAGUCUUUUGAUGUGGUGGGGAAUCCAAUGAUUCCAGCAGAUUUUGAAGUCCUGCAACAGUCUUAUGUCUCAGAGAAUCCAAUGAUUCCUGAGGGUUUUGAAGUCCUACAAUUUUUGAUGUCCAUGAGUCAAACGCCAUAACUGCCAUGCUCAUUCAGUGGUGAGCACAGUCAGCAACAGAACCACCUGAUGUUUCUUGGGUCUUCUCCUUCCUUUCAUCUCUCUCUGAUGGACAAAGCGAAUACGGCUCAUUGGCACCCAUCUGAAUCCUUCUCCAUCUGUGGAGAUACAAGCAAACCCUCUCCCCCAAGCAGUUUACCUGUCUGGUCCUUUCCAUUGACCACUUUCUGGGACUCCCCACAGUACCUGGCGAUUAUCUAAAGAUAGUGGAGCCCCUUGCACUGGACACUGCCCUUCCAGUGGGUUCUAAAACC